CCUACGGGAGGCAGCAGUAGGGAAUAUUGCUCAAUGGGGGAAACCCUGAAGCAGCAACGCCGCGUGGAGGAUGAAGGUCUUCGGAUUGUAAACUCCUUUUGUUAGAGAAGAUAAUGACGGUAGCUAACGAAUAAGCACUGGCCAAUACCGUGACAGCAGCCGCGGUAAUACGGAGGGGGCAAGCGUUACUCGGAAUCACUGGGCGUAAAGAGCGUGUAGGCGGGAUAGCAAGUCAGAUGUGAAAUCCUAGGGCUUAACCAUAGAACUGCAUUUGAAACUGUUAUUCUAGAGUAUGGGAGAGGUAGGUGGGAUUCUUGGUGUAGGGGUAAAAUCCGUAGAGAUCAAGAGGAAUACUCAUUGCGAAGGCGGCCUGCUAGAACAUAACUGACGCUGAUGCGCGAAAGCGUGGGGAGCAAACAGGAUUAGAUACCCCGGUAGUC
rnacentral:rRNA from 1 species